CCCCUAGAUGUUCUGGGCUGCACGCGCGCUACACUGAUGCACUCAACGAGUUUACGACCUUGUCCGAGAGGAUUGGGUAAUCUUUUUAAAAUGCAUCGUGAUGGGGAUAGAUGAUUGCAAUUAUUCAUCUUCAACGAGGAAUUCCUAGUAAACGCAAGUCAUCAGCUUGCAUUGAUUACGUCCCUGCCCUUUGUACACACCGCCCGUCGCACCUACCGAUUGAAUGGUCCGGUGAAAUUCUCGGACGCGGACUUGCGAUGUUAAUUCGGAGCUUGACUGUGAAAGUUAAUUAAACCUUACCAUUUAGAGGAAGGUGAAGUCGUAACA
rnacentral:rRNA from 1 species